rnacentral:rRNA from 1 species
CUCCAUUGCCAGUAGCGACACCAAUGGCGCCGUUGAUCAACUGAAAGUACAGCGGGGUUUUUAUGCCCAAACUACGAGUGUCGUGUUCUCCUCAAGGACUAGGCAAAUCGAUGAUCGUGCUUGGCUAAAGCUAGGUGACAAUUCAGAUGAUGAUCGCAAAAAAAUAUAAACCUAAACUAACAAUAUAGGAUGAUGACAAAUAAAAUGUCAAGAGAGAUUAAGAUUGAAACUCAUUGUAUCUUUGGUAUUUUUGUUUUACUAGAGACGCUAAAACACUAACAUAAAGGGAAGCAACGGGACAUGAACACAUAUAUUACUAUCAUACAAGUAACAAAGGGGAAGAAAGAAUGCUAUGACAGAGACAGAAAUAUAUCACAACAUAAACAUAUAUAUUUUCACAUGGAAGUAAUUAACACAGGGACUACAGAACACACAUAAGCACACAUAUGCGAACAGGGUACUACACCAUGAUUCAGGUUACACAAGUAAUCUAAUUAUACAAGCCACUUGACUAGUAUCACAGAUCAACAGAGUAGUAUUGAACAACUAAAAAUAGAUAGUAGAAGUAACUAGUACAGGAAGCAAGUACUCUUAGAAUCUGAAUGUUAUAGACUACACAUCUCAAACUACAGAAAAUUCAGAGAAGAGAAGGAGAAAGAGAGAUGGCAGCAGGAGAUUAGAGAAAGAAGCAGCAACAGGGACGUGGAGAGAGGGAGCAGCAGCAGUACUGGGGAUAGAAGAAGAAAGAGAAGCAGCAGGAGAUUGAGGGCAUCAGCAGCAGCAAGAGAAAGGAUUGAGGGGAGAUCAGGGGCAGCAGCUAGAUGGCGCAAGUGGGAGCAGCAACAAGGAGAAGUUCAGAGAAGAAGGAGCAGCAAGGGGUCGCUGGAGAGGAGCAGCAGCAGGUUGAAGAUUAGAGUAGCAGCAGCAGGGGCAUCAGGGAGAGAGAAGCAGCAGCGUGGGUUGAGGGCGAGCAGCAGCAGGUUGAAGAAGGAGGAGCAGCAGCGACUUGGAGUUGGGAGAUGGAGAAGAGGGAAGCAGCAGGGGGCGGUGAGAGAAGAGAGGAGCAGUAGCAAGGGGAGAAGAAGGGCAGCAGCACAGGGGCGCAAGGAAGAGCAGCAGCAAAGGUAAGGGAAGAAGGACUCACGCGGAGGUUCAGACGCCCGCAUCCUCGUGUCUGAUGGGACGUGCGAGUGGUGAUGGUGGAGUGGUGGCGCUGGUGAUGGUGGAUGAUGGCGCUAGGUGGUGAUUCGGCGUUGGUGGAUGGAGAUGGGUGAUGUGGUGCUGGAGGUGGGUGUGCUUGUGGAUGGAUGGGUGGCGGAGGCGCACCACCACACCGGCCUGGCCGUGGCGGCGGCCGGUGGUGGAGAAGAAGGGGAGAGGGAGAGAGAUGAGAUGUGCCAGGCCCGAAGGGACCCA